rnacentral:tRNA from 1 species
GUUUUAGUAGUUUAUAUAAAAUAGUAAUAUGUGAGGUUACAGAAAUAAUUUUCUAAGACA